rnacentral:rRNA from 1 species
GGUCGAUCCGAGAGGGAGCUGAGAAACGCUACCACAUCUAAGAAGGCAGCAGGCGCGCAAAUUACCCAAUCUGACACAGGGAGGUAGUGACAAGAAAUAACAAUACAGGGCAUCCAUGUCUUGUAAUUGGAAUGAGUAGAAUUUAAAUCCCUUUACGAGUAUCAAUUGGAGGGCAAGUCUGGUGCCAGCAGCCGCGGUAAUUCCAGCUCCAAUAGCGUAUAUUAAAGUUGUUGCGGUUAAAAAGCUCGUAGUUGGAUUUCUGCCGAGGACGACCGGUCCGCCCUCUGGGUGAGUAUCUGGCUCGACCUGGGCAUCCUUCCAGAGAAUGUGUCUGCUCUUGACUGAGUGGUACAGUAUCUGGAACUUUUACUUUGAGGAAAUUAGAGUGUUUCAAGCAGGCGCACGCCUUGAAUACAUUAGCAUGGAAUAAUAAGAUAGGACCUCGGUUCUAUUUUGUUGGUUUCUAGAGCUGAGGUAAUGAUUAAUAGGGAUAGUUGGGGGCAUUCGUAUUUAACUGUCAGAGGUGAAAUUCUUAGACCAGCGGAAGACGAACCACUGCGAAAGCAUUUGCCAGGGAUGUUUUCACUGAUCAAGAACGAAAGUUAGGGGAUCGAAGACGAUCAGAUACCGUCGUAGUCUUAACCAUAAACCAUGCCGACUAGGGAUUGGAGGAUGUUCCUAUGUGACUCCUUCAGCACCUUUCGGGAAACUAAAGUCUUUGGGUUCCGGGGGGAGUAUGGUCGCAAGGCUGAAACUUAAAGGAAUUGACGGAAGGGCACCACCAGGAGUGGAGCCUGCGGCUUAAUUUGACUCAACACGCA